rnacentral:rRNA from 1 species
UACGAAGGGGGCUAGCGUUGCUCGGAAUCACUGGGCGUAAAGGGUGCGUAGGCGGGUCUUUAAGUCAGGGGUGAAAUCCUGGAGCUCAACUCCAGAACUGCCUUUGAUACUGAAGAUCUUGAGUUCGGUAGGGGAGACUGGAAUUCCUGGUGUAGCGGUGAAAUGCGCAGAUAUCAGGAGGAACACCAGUGGCGAAGGUGGCUCACUGGACCGGAACUGACGCUGAGGCACGAAAGCGUGGGGAGCAAACAGGAUUAGAACCUCG